rnacentral:rRNA from 1 species
UACGGAGGGGGCUAGCGUUGUUCGGAAUUACUGGGCGUAAAGCGCACGUAGGCGGCUUUGUAAGUUAGAGGUGAAAGCCCAGGGCUUAACCCUGGAAUUGCCUUUAAGACUGCAUCGCUAGAAUCGUGGAGAGGUGAGUGGAAUUACGAGUGUAGAGGUGAAAUUCGUAGAUAUUCGGAAGAACACCAGUGGCGAAGGCGACUCACUGGACACGUAUUGACGCUGAGGUGCGAAAGCGUGGGGAGCAAACAGG